AUUUUCGAUUGUGUGUGGUGUGAUUCGUGGGUCGCGUCCGCGUCGGAAAUAAAAUUGUUGCCAAAAAGAAGCUUUUUUUCUAUCUUUCGAUUGACUGAGACAGGUUUGCAAAAGCCUGGGGUGCGAGAAGGGUUGCAUACUGAUAGGGAACGCUAGGUAGUACUGAAUGUCUGCUGUCAAAUUAUUUGGCAAUCGAUAUUCGCAAACGCAUUCGUAGUAAUUUCACUAGAUCGAAAUUUAAAAGUCGUCCGUUUUGCGUUGUAAGUAAUGACCAAAGCCUUUGUUUCACCUUCUCCAGAGAUACAUGAAUAACGCCAUAAUUUCUUUCUCACAGUCUUCAUCUGGUGGAGCACAGGUGGUGAUUUCUUUGCCAAUUUACAUAUGUACUGAUAGCAUUUGUAAGGUAAGUUACUGUUUGGGUUUGGGUGAAAAGGUAAACACAAAUUUGAUACAAAUUAAUUUAAUUAUUACAGUUUUGUUUAUUGUCUAAUUUGAGUUUUUGAAAAUCUAGAUUUCAACAUGUUGGUCAUUCAUGUAUGUAAUAAUUCAGCGCAAUAGGUGAAGAUUGAGUAAUGUUGAAGCCGGUUCUGUUUUAAAUUAAAAUUUUGUAAUAAUAAAGUAAUUUAAUUGUAUUUUUAAUUUUAUUUAAAUUGUAAAAUUGUAUUAUUUAACAAGGAUGACCAAUUGUAAACUAACGCAAUGGAAGACACCUGGUUGCCUGAACUGAAUAUAACAAACUUUGCGCAAAAAUUAUUUCGGGGACAUAAACUUUACAAAAUAACAAAAUUUACAUUCCUAUAAAUGUUUCGGUACGAAGUAAUUCAUAUUUUAAAAAUAAACUCCACAAUCUUGUCCA